rnacentral:lncRNA from 1 species
AUAAGACUAUUAUGUAUUCCACUUUUAGAUUGAAUUCAUCACUUCUUCAAUCUUGCAGCAGCUUUUUUGUAUAACAUUGAGACCCAUACUAUGCAUAAUCCACGCGAGGGUCUUUAAUUAUAUAGGAUUUCUAUUCAUGCUCCCGAUGCGAGAGGGGCAAUCAAUAUGUCUGGUUCAUUCCCAAACCUCUAAGGGUGUACUGCCAGAUAUUAGGCUGAAUCAAUCCUUGUGUUAUCAUGUUGCCUCCUGGCAUGUGACCGGGAAAUAUACAUUAUAUUGAUGUUUGGAAGGACUUUUUG